GACGAACGCUGGCGGCGUGCUUAACACAUGCAAGUCGAACGGUGAAGCUCCAGCUUGCUGGAGUGGAUCAGUGGCGAACGGGUGAGUAACACGUGAGCAACCUGCCCCUGACUCUGGAAUAAGCGCUGGAAACGGCGUCUAAUACUGGAUACGAGAAGGGUCCGCAUGGGCACUUUCUGGAAAGUUUUUCGGUUGGGGAUGGGCUCGCGGCCUAUCAGCUUGUUGGUGAGGUAAUGGCUCACCAAGGCGACGACGGUAGCCGGCCUGAGAGGGCGACCGGCCACACUGGGACUGAGACACGGCCCAGACUCCUACGGGAGGCAGCAGUGGGGAAUAUUGCACAAUGGGCGAAAGCCUGAUGCAGCGACGCCGCGUGAGGGAUGACGGCCUUCGGGUUGUAAACCUCUUUCAGCAGGGAAGAAGCGAAAGUGACGGUACCUGCAGAAGAAGCACCGGCUAACUACGUG
rnacentral:rRNA from 1 species